AGCAGCCGCGGUAAUUCCAGCUCCAAUAGCGUAUAUUAAAGUUGUUGCAGUUAAAAAGCUCGUAGUUGAAUUUCGGGGUUAGUAGGUUGGUCAUGCCUCUGGUAUGUACUGGUCUCACUGAUUCCUCCUUCCUGAUGAACCUUAAUGCCAUUAAUUUGGUGUUUUGGGGAAUUUGGACUGUUACUUUGAAAAAAUUAGAGUGUUUAAAGCAAGCUAACGCUUGAAUACAUUAGCAUGGAAUAAUGAAAUAGGACGUUCGAUCCUAUUUUGUUGGUUUCUAGGAUUGACGUAAUGAUUAAUAGGGAUAGUUGGGGGCAUUAGUAUUCAAAUGUCAGAGGUGAAAUUCUUGGAUUUAUUGAAGACUAACUACUGCGAAAAGCAUUUGCCAAGGAUGUUUUCAUUAAUCAAGAACGAAAGUUAGGGAUCGAAGACGAUCAGAUACCGUCGUAGUCUUAACCAUAAACUAUGACCGACUAGGGAUCGGAUGAUGUUAAUUUUUAUGUACUCAUUCGGCGCCUUA
rnacentral:rRNA from 1 species